rnacentral:rRNA from 1 species
UACGUAGGUGGCAAGCGUUGUCCGGAUUUACUGGGCGUAAAGAGCGCGCAGGCGGUCGUGCAAGUCGCGUGUGAAAGCCCCCGGCUCAACUGGGGAGGGUCACGCGAUACUGCUCGACUCGAAGGCAGGAGAGGGAAGUGGAAUUCCCGGUGUAGUGGUGAAAUGCGCAGAUAUCGGGAGGAACACCGGUGGCGAAGGCGGUUCUCUGGGCCUUACCUGACGCUGAGGAGCGAAAGCGUGGGGAGCGAACAGG